rnacentral:tRNA from 1 species
GGAAGGGUGGCCGAGAGGCUGAAGGCGGCGGUUUGCUAAACCGUUAUACGAUUAAAAGUCGUAUCGAGGGUUCGAAUCCCUCUCCUUCCGCCA